GACGAACGCUGGCGGCGUGCUUAACACAUGCAAGUCGAACGGAAAGGCCUUGCUUGCUUGGUACUCGGGUGGGCAACGGUUGAGUAACACGGGGGUGAUCUGCCUUCCACUUUGUGGUAAGCCUGGGAUACUGGGUCUAAUACCUGAUAGGUGCCAACAUUAACGUGAUGGUUGGAGAGUUUUUUCGGUGUUGGAUGCGCUCGCGGGCUAUCCGCUUGUUGGUUGGGUAAUGGCUUACCAAGGCGGCGACGGGUAGCCGGCCUGAUAGGGUGGACGGCCACAUUGGGACUGAGAUACGGCCCAGACUCCGACGGGAGGCAGCAGCGGGGAAUAUUGCACAAUGGGCGCAAGCCUGAUGCAGCGACGCCGCGUGGGGGAUGACGGCCUUCGGGUUGUAAACUCCUUUCGCUAGGGACGAAGCUUUUUGUGACGGUACCUAGAUAAGAAGCACCGGCUAACUACGUG
rnacentral:rRNA from 1 species